CUCAUCCAGAGGGGCAGAGGGACACGGCCCGAUGAAGCCCCGGCAACCGCCGCCUGCGCGUCAGCGCAGCGGGAGGUGCCAAUUCCGUCCUGUGCGGCUCGACGGCCCGACGCAGGGAAGAUGAG
rnacentral:ncRNA from 1 species